GAAAUGCGAUACGUAGUGUGAAUUGCAGAAUUCCGUGAACCAUCGAAUCUUUGAACGCACAUUGCGCCUUAGGCUUCGGCCAAGGGCAUGUCUGCCUCAGCGUCGGGUUAAUAUCGCUCCCCUAUACCCCUGUGGGUAAAGAGAGGCGGAUCUGGCCGUUCCAGCUAUGCAGUCCGAAUCAUUCGUGGUUUUGGGCAUCUAUGCACCUGGAUCAGCUGAAGACCAGAGGCUAACCAAGGACCCGUCAAGGGCCGCAACUGGGUGGGCUGUCAAAGGCUAUAUUCUUAGUUGUUGGUCUGGGACUUUGCGUUCGGCCCUCAAACAGGAACCUAUUAACCAUUAUCUCGACCUGAGCUCAGGCAAGAACACCCGCUGAACUUAA
rnacentral:misc_RNA from 1 species